UACAGAGGUCCCAAGCGUUGUUCGGAUUCACUGGGCGUAAAGGGUGCGUAGGCGGUCGGGUAAGUCUGAUGUGAAAUCUCCAAGCUCAACUUGGAAAUGGCAUCGGAUACUAUUCGGCUCGAGGAAUGGAGGGGAGACUGGAAUACUUGGUGUAGCAGUGAAAUGCGUAGAUAUCAAGUGGAACACCAGUGGCGAAGGCGAAUCUCUGGACAGUUACUGACACUGAGGCACGAAGGCCAGGGGAGCAAACGGG
rnacentral:rRNA from 1 species